UACCUGGCCGCAGUGCGCACGCUCGGGCGCGGGGCGCAGACCUCUCGCGGCCGCGCUGGGAUCCGGUCCUGUGUCCGCGCUGUCGCGGAUGCUGCGGUCCGGAGUCAUGGCUCUCUCCGUCCGAGUCGUUUACUGUGGUGCUUGAGGCUACAAGUCCAAGUAUCUUCAGCUGAAGAAGAAGUUAGAAGAUGAGUUCCCUGGGCGCCUGGACAUUUGCGGCGAGGGGACUCCCCAAGUCACCGGGUUCUUUGAAGUGCUGGUAGCAGGGAAGUUGGUUCACUCCAAGAAGGGAGGUGAUGGCUAUGUGGACACGGAGAGCAAGUUUCUGAAGCUGGUGGCCGCCAUCAAAGCCGCUUUGGCUCAGGGCUGAUGUGUCCUGAAGGCAGAGUCCAGCGACCUUGGCCCAGCCCCUCUCGGCAGACGCUUCAUGACAGGAAGGACUGAAAUGUCUCAUGGACGCCUGGUCCUUCCCUGAUGUUCCCACGGCUGCCGGGUGGGGCAUGUGGACACCCCUGGUCUUUGCCUGUGUGUGUGUGUGUGUGUGUGUGUGUGUGUCUGUGUCCCAGGAGUCUGACUUUGCACACUGGCCCUGCUCCUUCCUUCCUCCCUCUCCCCCCGCUCCCGCCCCCCCCCCCCCCCCCCCCCCGUUUCCCCUCAUUCCCCAUGUCUCCCUUCUACCAUCUGGUGUUUGGGCUGGUCCUGCCCCAGGCUUCCUUCUCCCGGGAGCCAGGUGGGGAUCAGGGUGAAUGAGUGUCAGAUUUCGGCAGUGUUUGCAACGGUUCACAGUUCUCUCAAUAAACGCUGAUGAGGAGAACAAAA